GAUGAACGCUAGCUACAGGCUUAACACAUGCAAGUCGAGGGGUAACGAGAGGAAAGCUUGCUUUCCUUGUCGACGACCGGCGCACGGGUGAGUAACGCGUAUCCAACCUGCCCCCAACUAGGGAAUAACCUUGCGAAAGUAAGACUAAUACCCUAUAAUUUCCUCAGAUGUCAUCUGACGAGGAAUAAAGAUUUAUCGGUUGUGGAUGGGGACGCGUCUGAUUAGCAUGUUGGCGGGGUAACGGCCCACCAAGGCAACGAUCAGUAGGGGUUCUGAGAGGAAGGUCCCCCACAUUGGAACUGAGACACGGUCCAAACUCCUACGGGAGGCAGCAGUGAGGAAUAUUGGUCAAUGGGCGGAAGCCUGAACCAGCCAAGUAGCGUGCAGGAUGACGGCCCUAUGGGUUGUAAACUGCUUUUAUACAGGAAUAAAGUUAGCCACGUGUGGUUAUUUGUAGGUACUGUAUGAAUAAGGACCGGCUAAUUCCGUGCCAGCCGCCGCAGUAA
rnacentral:rRNA from 1 species